UGCGUCCCAGCGGUUGGCGGGGUCGGAUGAGUGGGUGUCCGUGCGGGGCAAGGCGGAGGUCGGGCCGGCAGGAGAGCGGACUGUGAGGAGCAGACACGGGGAGGAGUGUGGGAUAACGGAGAGGGAGAGCAGGGAGCAGAGUGCUGCCUGGAGAGCGGUGGAGCAUGACAACACACACCUGUAGGACAAAGAUGAACGGAGUGAUAAAGCCUAAGAGGAGAGAGCACAGAUUAGACGUGAGAGAGACAGCGACGGCGAAGAACAAAAAGAAAAGAUGUUGCUGAGAGAUGAGGAAAUACAUCAGCAGUAAGUCUGGAACCAGCCAGGAGGAAAGUGUGGCGGCUGUGUUUGAAUAAAGGCUCAUUUAAAAAAUGUGUGUAGCGCAUGUACGUAGAAAUAAAUCAAUCUAAAAAUACAGUAAGCCGCCUAAGCCUCUUUUUAAGGUAAGUACAAUUUUAACCAUGUCCUUCAAUUGAACAAGCUAAGCUUUACAUUAUUUUCUGCAGUUUUGUAUCCGUGCUAUGUGAUCCUAACAGGCCAUAUUACACAGGUACAAAACUGCAAGUAUAAAUUAUUUAAAACUCAGAAAUUUUAAAUUAUUAACACGCCUUUUACUUGUGCCACAUAACUAUGAUGCAAGUGACCCCUGGGGAUGUCAAAUCCUUUUGAAUGCUCUCCUGGAGGCAAAGUCUGGAACCAGCCCCUGCCCCUGCCCCACACACACACACACACACACACACACACACACACACACACACACACACACACACACACACACACACACACGCUCCCCGAGCCCCGAAUGUUCGGACCAGAGGUCAAGCCCUGACCUCUGACCUGGCACACGUCAGUGCACUCCGGAAAAACAUGGCACAUGCUGCCCGCAUUGUAGGCCAAAUCCUAUAAUAAAUGGUUUGCAUGUAAUAAAUGUGCUGAUAGCAACGUGACAUAUGCAUAUACAGCAAUAACUAGCAAAACCCAAAUCUCAAAAGCAAUGAAAUGACUCAAAUUACUGCUGACAGAGACAUAUUUCUCCUGUUCCCAGCAAAUGUUAAAAAGACAGAUUUUUAUUUGGUACAUAUUUUGGUCAUGGUUCCCAUUUGGUAAACGCCCUGAAUGCAAAAGUUAAUGGCAAAUUAAAACCACUGAUUUGCGACAGUUCAACGUGAGCUCUUUUAUGUGGAUGUAUCCUCUGGGCAGAGGAUCUCUGCACCACAUUUAAUACACCAAAGAAAUCUGUGCGCUACAGCGGGACUUGCUAGUGGUUUAACUCUUGCAUUUCUGCUGCUAUUACUAGUCCAAUACAUUUCUGUCUAUGUGUCAGCUUUUCCCCGUGUCUCUUCAUCUCCUGCUCUCUUUAGGCUUCUCUUUCCCUCCCUGUUUUCAAAUUAAACACAAGGCACGGGACACUCUGAUAAGGCCAUCUGUUCGUCCUGCUCUCACUCAAUCCUUUUCCAAUCUAGGAGUACUGCCCCAGCUAAAGCUGCCGGUGGACAUUUCAGGUACAGUUUCUCAGCAAUUUCUGUGUUAGUCUUAUUCUGUUGUGUCAAUAUUAAAUCCCAGCAGUAACCAGGAACACAUAUGUAUGAAUAUGUGAUGCUGUGUUAUUAGAGUUGUAUAGGGAAGAGGCUGUCUCACCAACGCCUGCAAUAAGGAGUAAUCCCAAGACUCAAAUCACACACUAAAGACCACCAUGCACACAGACGCGCACACGCACCUCAGCCCCCUUGCCCCAGAGUGAGCCCAGGAUCUGACUGUGAAAAUUAGUUUGUGAGAAACUAAUCAUGCAGCUUAACAAGUGGAGCCGGGAAAGAAGUGGAGAGGAGGAGGAAGAGGGGUGGGAGUGUGAAACGGUCAAAAGGGUCAACUAAUCAAGAGGAGGGGAAAUGAGACAAGGGGUAGACGAAAUGCUGCGGGGGUGGGGGUGGAGGAGCGAGAUAGAGACAGGGAGAGCGCGAGGCUGAUGUUGAGAGGACUUAGGAGAAGGGUUACCAUAAAUGACUGUGAAAUGAGAAUCCGGGGAAGAAGUGUGAGUGUGCAGCGAAGGGAAAAAAACGAAGGGGAUGAGAGAGGGAUACCAUGAAGAGAUUUCUGAGAGGAAAGGAGCGGGGAUGAAAGGGCUGGGGGUGGUGAGGGGAACAUUCUGUAAUAUUCUACUGAUGCAAAGAAAGUGGAGGAUGUGAGGGGAGGAGCUGAACACAGGACAGAAGGGAUUUCAGGGGGAAAAAAGAGAUAAAGCGUGUGCAGGGUUUGGGAAAUAAAAGGGAGAAUAAGGAGAGAUGAAAAAGCAAUUCUUGGGGAGGGAAAAGUAAUGGAUAAUGGGGAGAUGUGUGACAGAGAGGGAGAAAUUCUCUGAAGUCAUUUCUAAAUCCUGUCAAAGAAGGCAAUGGGCAGGGAGGGGGAGAACGAAGGAGGUAUUCACACAGACAAGAACCGGUGAAGACAGGUAGAGGCGUAAAACGGCACAGGUGGGGAAGGUGUUGCACUAUUCUCCCAGCUGAAACAUACACAACAUACAUGCAAUUAUUUGCACAUAUGUGUAUGUACAUCUUACUAGAGCUUUUAACGCUGUUGUUAACAUGAGUGAGAAGGAAAUAUUUGUGUAUUUUGUUCAUAAUAGUGUUUUCCAAAUUAAUUCAGAAUGUUAAAUAUCUGUAAUUUAAAUGUUAGUCCCUGCUUUGAGUGAUUUUUUAUUUUGAUUGAUUUGAGUUUGUAUUUUCAGCCUUGCUCUGAUUUUUCACCAACUAAACAUCUCUUUUUAUUGCUCUUGCCCUUGGGUCUGACCUGUUUGCUAUCGUGUUUGUGAUAAUUGGUUUUAUUCUAAAUAGUCUCACUAAUACUAUACUCUGAAGACAAAAUGAGCAGAAUGAGGGAUGGCAUCUCCCUCUUUAAGCUCUCCAGGGAGUGGGCAAAAAUUUCAAAAUUGUGGAAAGCCAUGUGUGGAAGCGGUAAUGUUGCUCAUUCAUUAAGUGUCCAGACUUAUUAAAAACAGCAACCACACCCUCGUUUCAGCACCAGCCUUCCUCAGGGGAGUGGUGUUUCUGAUUGUUCCACGCUGGCUCUUUAGUAAAUCUCUGCUACUAAUGAGUAUCCUCCCUGCAAAUGUUUCCUCCAUGUGUCCAGAAUAUUUAUUACAAUUUAUCUGAAAAUUUAUUUGAACGAUCUGCUCACAAAGCAGGCUUAUGGGUAAUUUCCUUCUGGUGCAAUGAGACCGUUAUUGAUGUAAUCACCAGGACAGGAUAAAGUAAAACCCGGAGGAGGGGGUUAGAAGAACGAGUCAAAUAACAAACGGCAGAAAGAAAGAAAGAAAGAAAGAAAGAAAGAAAGAAAGAAAGAAAGAAAGAAAGAAAGAAAGAAAGAAAGAAAGAAAGAAAGAAAGAAAGAAAGAAAGAAAGAAAGAAAGAAAGAAAGAAAGAAAGAAAGAAAGAAAGAAAGAAAGAAAGAAAGAGAAGCAAGACAAGAACUGAAAGGGGAUUUUUACAGAGAGGUCAGCGCCUUAGAAGCCAUAAUUGGAUUAAUGACAUUAUAUAAAAAGAUGUGUAUGUAUAAGCUUGCACUUUUAUAUGUAUGAAUGCAGAGGCAUUUCCCAGCUGCAUGGAAAAAGCAUGCAUAGUUGCAAUAUGUAUGAAUGCAGGGAUUUGUGCUUGUGUGUGUCAGAAAAUUUCCCCUCCCCCAAAGUCUUUUCUUCAGGCUCUCCUCCAACCAUUUUCUUAUAAAGAUCUUAUCAAACCCUCGCGUGUUGUGAGGUGCGGGAGCUGAAACUCUGAUCAGUGUCAGAGCAGCACAGAGAGAAUGUAGAGGCGUAUCGAAUAUCUAUAUUAAAUAUAUCAGCAGUAAAUCCGUUGAGAGUAAAAGUUGAGACAAAACGUCCUGAAAUUUCACCUUACUCUGUCUGGUCUGGUAGUUUCCUCAACCUUUGAGAUAAAUAAUAGGGUAAAUUUGUUAAAUGUCCUGAAACGGUGAGUGUAAAAUCACUUUUUAACCGCAGUGGAAACGAGGUCAGAGAGAAAAAAGAGCGAGGGAGUGACAGAGAGGUACAGCCAAGAGACAGACACAGAUCUCGCACAGUGCCCCAUCCAUAAUGAACAGUGUCCUAGCCCGGCUCAGCCGCAGCGCGCGAUCCCUCACUGGAGAGACCAAGGGAGAGUGGGAUGAAACAAAGGGGAAUGGCCACAUUAAUUACACACACUCUCUAGACGGGAGCUAUCACCGGAGGCUAACAGAGGGACUGACAGAGAGAUGGAGCGACAGAGAGAGAUAGAAGAAUUGAGAUGAUAGCGCCCACGGAGUAGCCCGUGCGUCUCCUAUAAGAGGGAGUGUUUGUCCUUAACAGCAAGACGCCUGCUGGCUGCUGAGUUAUGUCACAGCGCUGCUAAUGGGAGCUGAACCUCCAAUAACACAGACGCGCAGCCAAGGGAGGCCGCCUGCGUGUCAGUGUACACCAGCGAAGGCAGCAUCUGCGCGGGUAGCCGAGCGACGGGAGCUCCUGUGAUGUAAGUGUGAGUCUAUAUAUAACGGCCCGGGUGUGCGUGUGAUGUGCACUUACCCCCGGUAGCGUCUUCUGCUCGUGGAGAGCGCUCUGGGCUUUCAGCGCCGACUCCCUCGCGCAGUACGUCAGGAACGCGCAUCCUGUCAGACCGGGAGACAGAGGAAGAGCAGGGGAAGCGGGAAAGGUAGAAAAGUUCAGUGAGUGGCGGUAAUAGUUGUCAUCCCCUGUCUUUGUCUCUGCAUCACUACGCCCCUAUCAGCACACAGUCAAACACUGUUAAACAAUAGAAAGCUCCCCUUUCUGAUCUCUCCCCUGAUUAGCUGUCACUUAUUCUGGACAGGCUAGCUUGCAUUAAAAAAUAUUUAUUCAUGCACUAGAGCUGAGAGGGACACUCCACGGCACGGCACUGUUCAAAACGGCACGGCACGAGUCAGCACACAUGACAGCACCAAGGACGUGUGCACGGGGCUAACAAGGCCUCACAGUUAGGCUCCUGCCCUAUACCAACCACUAUAUGCAUGCCUCACGAUCACUGCAAAUACACUCCUUCUGUCGUCCUAUGUGCUGUACCUGUGUCUGUGUGUGUGAGGGAGGGGUAGGUAGUAGAGCUGGCUGGCCAGAGCUGUUUACUACACCUGUCACCAGCACUAAGACAACAAGAUUAGCAGGUGGUUAGUAUCCCAGUGACAUCUCAGGAAGACUAAUGUAGAUUCAGCGUGAGAAGAGAAGAAGCGACUGGGAAGCGUUCAUCUGAGGAAGUGACAGUGACUCAACAUAAUAACUUGACAUGAAAUAAUAUGUGCAAACAGAGACAAAACAUAAAAAAUACAUGACGCGGACACACACAUUGACACACAUGAAUCUUGGUCCAUCUCAUUGCUUUUAAGAGGGGCUUACAGUGGCCGUGGGGAUUCUCCAAACAAC